rnacentral:snoRNA from 1 species
CACCCCUCAGGGUCACACCUGGAGAGUUUCCAGUACUCUACCAGUCUCAGCUAUGGGAGGGAGAGUCAAGCAGAGGCCUACCCAUUCCAUUUCUAGCUUGGGCAGUGGCUAGUGAGUGGAAGGCCAUCUGCUACAAGU